rnacentral:rRNA from 1 species
ACGAACGCUGGCGGCGUGCCUCAUACAUGCCAGUAGAACGCUGAAGAGAGGAGCUUGCUCUUCUUGGAUGAGUUGCGAACGGGUGAGUAACGCGUAGGUAACCUGCCUUGUAGCGGGGGAUAACUAUUGGAAACGAUAGCUAAUACCGCAUAACAAUGGAUGACACAUGUCAUUUAUUUGAAAGGGGCAAUUGCUCCACUACAAGAUGGACCUGCGUUGUAUUAGCUAGUAGGUGAGGUAAUGGCUCACCUAGGCGACGAUACAUAGCCGACCUGAGAGGGUGAUCGGCCACACUGGGACUGAGACACGGCCCAGACUCCUACGGGAGGCAGCAGUAGGGAAUCUUCCGCAAUGGGGGCAACCCUGACCGAGCAACGCCGCGUGAGUGAAGAAGGUUUUCGGAUCGUAAAGCUCUGUUGUAAGUCAAGAACGGGUGUGAGAGUGGAAAGUUCACACUGUGACGGUAGCUUACCAGAAAGGGACGGCUAACUACGUG